AUCCGCCCUGGUGUAACGGCAGCACGCGGGCCUUUGGAGCCUUGCAGUCCCCGUUCGAAUCGGGGGCGGAGCCC
rnacentral:tRNA from 1 species